GGUUUGGUGGCCAAAGCACAAGCGAAACACCCGGUCCCUUCCCGAACCCGGAAGUUAAGCGCUGUUGCGCCGAUGGUACUGCAUCUUAAGGUGUGGGAGAGUAGGGCACCGCCAAACCU
rnacentral:rRNA from 1 species